GACGAACGCUGGCGGCGUGCUUAACACAUGCAAGUCGAACGAAGUGGCGAACGGGUGAGUAACGCGUAAUCAACCUGCCCUUCAUAGGGGGCCAACAGUUUGAAACGACUGCUAAUACCGCAUACUGAAUGAGGGGAUUGCGUCUGAUUAGAUAGUUGGAGGGGUAACGGCCCAACAAGGCGAUGAUCAGUAGCCGGUCGGAGAGGAUGAAAGGCCAAAUGGGGAAUGAGACACGGCCCAGACUCCGACGGGAGGCAGCAGUGGGGAAUGUUCCGCAAUGGACGAAAGUCUGACGGAGCAAAGGAGCGUGAGUGAUGACGGCCUUCGGGUUGUAAAGCUAUGUUAAUCGGGACGCGGUACCGGAAUAGAAAGCCACGGCUAACUACGUGCCAGCAGCCGCGGUAAUUC
rnacentral:rRNA from 1 species